GACAAACCGGCCAUAAAUUCAAGCUAUAAGCAAUUUAUAACCAAAAAAUCAACACUUUGAAGGAUGAUGGCUACUACAUAUAUGCGACUGAUGCAUCGGUGAUGGCAAAUAAAGUUGGAUGUGCAGUGUACGUGGAAACAACCAAUGUCUCAUACCUUUUUAACAUAGACGGAAAUUUUACCUCAACCUACGGUGAGCUAGUUGCACUAUCUCAGGCAGCUACAAUAGCAAGCAACAGCGGGAACAAAAAGAUAGCAAUUUUCACAGACAGCCAGGCAGCAAUCAAAGCCCUCGACAAUCACACCACACAGAACUUCCUUGUGGCAGAAAUUCACAACAAACUACACAGAUCCAACAUAGAAAACAUAAUGAUAGUAUGGACACCCAGUCAUGUUGGGAUAACUAUAAACGAAAAAGCCGACAUUGCUGCAAAAACUGCAAUUGAUUUCGGUAAAUCUCUCUCUCCUAAAUUAAGCCCAAAUGAAGCACUCCUAAAAAUAAGCACCAGACUGUGGACUGAAACCAAAGACGAAUUUAACAACAAACUACCAAACUGGGACCCUGACAUUGCGGAAUUUUGUACAUUGAAAAUAAACAAUCCGUGGUUUAAAAACAAAAAACUGAACUUAGAAGCAUACGACAUAAAACUAUUUAACAGAAUUGCAACAGGACAUACAUACGGUAAUACGUACUUAAACAAAUUUCAACA
rnacentral:misc_RNA from 1 species